rnacentral:rRNA from 1 species
GAUGAACGCUGGCGGCGUUCCUAAUACAUGCAAGUCGAGCGAACAGAUGAGGAGCUUGCUCCUCUGACGUUAGCGGCGGACGGGUGAGUAACACGUGGAUAACCUACCUAUAAGACUGGGAUAACUUCGGGAAACCGGAGCUAAUACCGGAUAAUAUAUUGAACCGCAUGGUUCAAUAGUGAAAGACGGUUUUGCUGUCACUUAUAGAUGGAUCCGCGCCGCAUUAGCUAGUUGGUAAGGUAACGGCUUACCAAGGCAACGAUGCGUAGCCGACCUGAGAGGGUGAUCGGCCACACUGGAACUGAGACACGGUCCAGACUCCUACGGGAGGCAGCAGUAGGGAAUCUUCCGCAAUGGGCGAAAGCCUGACGGAGCAACGCCGCGUGAGUGAUGAAGGUCUUCGGAUCGUAAAACUCUGUUAUUAGGGAAGAACAAAUGUGUAAGUAACUAUGCACGUCUUGACGGUACCUAAUCAGAAAGCCACGGCUAACUACGUG